ensembl:snoRNA
GUUCAUGCCCAGGGGUGAGGCUAUAGUGCCAGAACACUUGCUUGUGCAUAAUUAAGGCCACCUGCCCUCUUCAGGAAGCCCUUUUAACUGGGAGCAAAGUGA